rnacentral:snoRNA from 3 species
UUUCAUUGAUGAUCUCUCAAUUGUGUGGCACUGUGUCUGGGUCAUAGAAACCCUUUGAUGAACCUAAGAGA